rnacentral:rRNA from 1 species
AUUGAACGCUGGCGGCAUGCCUUACACAUGCAAGUCGAACGGCAGCAUGGAGAGCUUGCUCUCUGAUGGCGAGUGGCGAACGGGUGAGUAAAGCAUCGGAACGUACCGUGUAGUGGGGGAUAACGUAGCGAAAGUUACGCUAAUACCGCAUACGCACUGAGGUGGAAAGCAGGGGAUCGCAAGACCUUGCGCUAUACGAGCGGCCGAUGUCAGAUUAGCUAGUUGGUAGGGUAAAGGCCUACCAAGGCGACGAUCUGUAGCGGGUCUGAGAGGAUGACCCGCCACACUGGGACUGAGGCACGGCCCAGACUCCUACGGGAGGCAGCAGUGGGGAAUUUUGGACAAUGGGGGCAACCCUGAUCCAGCCAUGCCGCGUGAGUGAAGAAGGCCUUCGGGUUGUAAAGCUCUUUCGGCCGGGAAGAAAUCGCACAGGCUAAUACUCUGUGUGGAUGACGGUACCGGCAUAAGAAGCACCGGCUAACUACGUGCCAGCAGCCGCCGUAA